CCUACGGGUGGCAGCAGUGAGGAAUAUUGGUCAAUGGACGAGAGUCUGAACCAGCCAAGUAGCGUGAAGGAUGACUGCCCUAUGGGUUGUAAACUUCUUUUAUAUGGGAAUAAAAUGUUCCACGUGUGGGUUUUUGUAUGUACCCUAUGAAUAAGGAUCGGCUAACUCCGGGCCAGCAGCCGCGGUAAUACGGAGGGUCCGAGCGUUAUCCGGAUUUAUUGGGUUUAAAGGGUGCGUAGGUGGAUUGUUAAGUCAGUUGUGAAAGUUUGCGGCUCAACCGUAAAAUUGCAGUUGAAACUGGCAGUCUUGAGUACAGUAGAGGUGGGCGGAAUUCGUGGUGUAGCGGUGAAAUGCUUAGAUAUCACGAAGAACUCCGAUUGCGAAGGCAGCUCACUGGACUGCAACUGACACUGAGGCUCGAAAGUGUGGGUAUCAAACAGGAUUAGAUACCCCGGUAGUC
rnacentral:rRNA from 1 species